AUGUAUAGUAUAUACUAAUUGUAUUUUAAAUACAAUAUCGACUAUGUCGAAUAAAGUUCUAGAUAGAAUACUGAUAAUGACAAUUUUCUAUCUAUAUGUCUUGACCAAAUCACGUGCCAGCAGUCGCGGUAAUACGUGGAAGACUAGUGUUAUUCAUCUUUAAUAGGUUUAAAGGGUACCUAGACUGUAUUUCUAGCCCAAAUAGGGUACGGAUUUACUAGAGUUUAAUGUAAGAAGAAAAAAUUAAGAGUGAAAUUUUAAUUUCAUUUUUUGUAGUACUUGAAGUGUAGAGAUAAAAUUUUGUAAUACUUUAAGGAAACUGGUGAUGCGAAAGCAACCUUCUAUGUAUAAACUGACGUUGAGGGACGAAGGCUUGGGUCGCGAAUAGGAUUAGAUACCCUAGUAGUCCAAGCAGAAAAUUAUGAAUGUCAUAGAUCAGAUAUAUUUUGGUUUAUAAAUGAAAGUGUAAGCAUUCCACCUCAAGAGUAAUGCGGCAACGCAGGAACUGAAAUCAUUAGACCGUUUCUGAAACCAGUAGUGAAGUAUGUUAUUUAAUUCGAUAAUCCGCGAAAAACCUUACCACAAUUUGAAUAUAAAAAUUACAAGCGCUGCACGGCUGUCUUCAGUUAAUGUCGUGAGAUUUUGGUUAGUUCCAUUAAAUUAACGUAAACCCUUGCUUUAUUUAUAAUAUUUAUAUAAAGUAGCUCACCGCUAUAUUGGAUAUGAUAAAAGGGAAUAAGACAAGUCAUC
rnacentral:rRNA from 1 species